UUACGGCCAUAUCACAUUGAAACACCAGUUCUUGUACGGUCACCAAAGUUAAGCAACAUUGAGCCUGGUCAGUACUUAGGUGGGUGACCACUUGGGAAUACCAAGUGUAGUA